CUCACCUCACAGACACUCCUCUCUGGAUCCUCCAGAGCUAUAAAGACGGGCCUUCCACCACCAGACAGGCGCACUCUACCACCAUGAAUCCACUCCUGAUCCUUGCCUUUGUGGGAGCUGCUGUUGCUGUCCCCUUUGAUGAUGAUGACAAGAUCGUUGGGGGCUACACCUGUGAGGAGAAUUCUGUCCCCUACCAGGUGUCCUUGAAUUCUGGCUCCCACUUCUGCGGUGGCUCCCUCAUCAGCGAACAGUGGGUGGUGUCAGCAGGUCACUGCUACAAGCCCCACAUCCAGGUGAGACUGGGAGAGCACAAUAUCGAAGUCCUGGAGGGGAAUGAGCAGUUCAUCAAUGCAGCCAAGAUCAUCCGCCACCCCAAAUACAACAGGAUUAUUCUGAACAAUGACAUCAUGCUGAUCAAGCUCUCCACACCUGCCGUCAUCAAUGCCCAUGUGUCCACCAUCUCUCUGCCCACUGCCCCUCCAGCUGCUGGCACCGAGUGCCUUAUCUCCGGCUGGGGCAAUACCCUGAGCUCUGGGGCCGACUACCCAGAUGAGCUGCAGUGCCUGGACGCUCCUGUGCUGACCCAGGCUAAGUGUAAAGCCUCCUACCCUUUAAAGAUUACCAGCAACAUGUUCUGUGUGGGCUUCCUUGAGGGAGGCAAGGAUUCCUGCCAGGGUGACUCUGGUGGCCCUGUGGUCUGCAAUGGACAGCUUCAAGGAAUUGUCUCCUGGGGCUAUGGCUGUGCCCAGAAGAGAAGGCCUGGAGUCUACACCAAGGUCUACAACUAUGUGGACUGGAUUAAGGACACCAUAGCUGCCAACAGCUAAAGCCCCUGGUCACUCUGCAGUCUCUAUACCAAUAAA